rnacentral:rRNA from 1 species
GAACUCGGCAAAAUGACCCCGUAACUUAGGGAUAAGGGGUGCCACCAUCAGGUGGCCGCAGAGAAUAGGCCCAAGCGACUGUUUACCAAAAACAUAGGUUUCUGCUAAGUCGCAAGACGAUGUAUAGGAGCUGACGCCUGCCCGGUGCUGGAAGGUUAAGGGGAUCUGUUAGAGCAAUCGAAGCAGUGAACUUAAGCCCCAGUAAACGGCGGCCGUAACUAUAACGGUCCUAAGGUAGCGAAAUUCCUUGUCGGGUAAGUUCCGACCCGCACGAAAGGCGUAACGAUUUGGGCACUGUCUCAACAACAGACUCGGUGAAAUUGUAAUUCCGGUGAAGAUGCCGGAUACCUGCGACAGGACGGAAAGACCCCAUGGAGCUUUACUGUAGCUUGACAUUGGGUCUUGGUACUACAUGUACAGGAUAGGUGGGAGGCUUUGAAACCAGGACGCCAGUUUUGGCGGAGCCAUCCUUGGGAUACCACCCUUGUAGUACUGGGACUCUAACCAUAGGCCAUGAAUCUGGUCUUGGGACACUGUCAGGUGGGCAGUUUGACUGGGGCGGUCGCCUCCCAAAAGGUAACGGAGGCGCUCAAAGGUUCUCUCAGUACGGUCGGAAAUCGUACGUAGAGUGUAAAGGCAAAAGAGAGCUUGAUUGCAAGACAUACAGGUCGAGCAAGGAUGAAAAUCGGACUUAGUGAUCCGGUGGUUCUGCGUGGAAGGGCCAUCGCUCAACGGAUAAAAGCUACCCUGGGGAUAACAGGCUUAUCUCCCCCAAGAGUCCACAUCGACGGGGAGGUUUGGCACCUCGAUGUCGGCUCAUCACAUCCUGGGGCUGUAGUAGGUCCCAAGGGUUGGGCUGUUCGCCCAUUAAAGUGGUACGCGAGCUGGGUUCAGAACGUCGUGAGACAGUUCGGUCCCUAUCCGUCGCAGGCGUAGGAAAUUUGAGAAGACCUGUCCUUAGUACGAGAGGACCGGGAUGGACGUACCUCUGGUGUACCAGUUGUCCUGCCAAGGGCAUGGCUGGGUAGCUAUGUACGGAAUGGAUAAGCGCUGAAAGCAUCUAAGCGCGAAGCCAACUUCAAGAUAAGAUUUCCCACCGCAAGGGUAAGACCCCAGAAAGACUAUCUGGUUGAUAGGUCGAAGGUGUAAGUGCAGCAAUGUAUUUAGCUUAUCGAUACUAAUAG